UGAUGGGUCCGCCGAGGCCUAUACAACUCGUUUACUGCGACAAUAUUGGAAAGUUUCGAAUGGAUCAGGAAGCGUCUUAAUGCUCCAGCUCGUUAAGGAACCUAUCGGUAUAGUCGCGGUCUGUGGCCGUGCUCGCCAGGGCAAGAGCUUCAUUCGAAACGAGGACGUGUAUCUGGAUUUACCUGAGGAUAGUGGAAGGACAAUGCCCCGUGACUAUCUGGAGCUUGCUUUGAAGCCAGUUGAUGACAGAAAAAGGAUGUAGUUGCAAAAAAUGAGAUACGAGCCUCCAUUCGAGCUCUAUUUUCAGAUAGAGAAUGCUUCACCCUUGUACGGCCGUUGAACAACGAACAUGAUCUACAGAGAAUUAACGAAAUUCAGUUGGACAAAUUAAGGUCUGAAUUCAGAUCCGGGCUAGACGCAUUGACAAGGUUUGUUUUUGAAAGAACAAGGCCGAAGCAAGUUGGGGCGACUAUGAUGACGAGUCCAGUUGUCUUAUCUUGGUGCCUACCGUAUCCUCUUCAUGGCAGAGUGUCGAAGAAGAUGGGUGCCGAACAGCAUAUGAUUAUGCUCUUGAGGUGUAUAAGUCCGCUUUUCACCGUCCGAAAAAUCACGAAGAAAAAGAUAAGAAUCUUGUUCUUGCCUCAUAUAUAAUUGAAUUCUUUGUGAUAACAAAUAGUUUGUUGCAGUAUAUAUGGAUGUGUAUAUCUUAUUAGCGCAUCUCUUGUAUACUGGUCUUAUUCGUUUAAAUUGGCUACUCAUGCAGGAUUGUAAAAGGAAUGCAUAUAUGGAGGCAGAGUUGCAAUGUUCAAAUGCUAUACAAAGCAUGGAAAGGAAGCUGAGAAUAGCUUGCCAUGUUUUUAAGACUGCCAAAUCGAAAGUAGAUAGUUAUGAUGCUGAAAUAUCAUCGAUGAAGCUUGAAAUCAAGGACUUAAGUAAAAAACUAGAAGCUGCAAAUGCACAGGCCCACUCACUUGAGAGAGAAAAAAAAAGACUUGAUCAAAGUCCAAGAAAGGUGUAAAAUCGCCGAAAAACAAGUCACAAGGGCGACUGAUAUUGCCAAUAUAAAGCACGAGCUCAAGCGGAUGUUGCUCAAAAGGAAGCGUACAGAACAUAGAUGUAUUAUUGAAAAAUAAA